UGGGGGAUAUUGCACAAUGGGCGAAAGCCUGAUGCAGCGACGCCGCGUGGGGGAUGAAGGCCUUCGGGUUGUAAACUUCUUUUGCUCUGAACAAGGCAUGCCUUUGGGGUGUGUUGAGUGUAGGGGUUGAUUAGCGCCGGCUAACUACGUGCCAGCAGCGGCGGUAAUACGUAGGGCGCGAGCGUUGUCCGGAAUUAUUGGGCGUAAAGGGCUUGUAGGUGGCUGGUUGCGUCUGUCGUGAAAGCUCAUGGCUUAACUGUGGGUUUGCGGUGGGUACGGGCUGGCUUGAGUGCAGUAGGGGAGGCUGGAAUUCCGGGUGUAGCGGUGGAAUGCGCAGAUAUCAGGAGGAACACCGGUGGCGAAGGCGGGUCUCUGGGCUGUUACUGACGCUGAGGAGCGAAAGCGUGGGGAGCGAACAGG
rnacentral:rRNA from 1 species